rnacentral:lncRNA from 1 species
AUAAUAAAUAAAUAAAUAAAGGUGGGGAAAUGGAAAUUGACUAGGUUAGUUGAGUUGAGGUCGAGGCGGCAGAGACUGGAUGACGUCAUGCUUAGAAGGGUAAGACUUUUGGAUCAAAGUCAACGGGUGGGGUCCACGCGGCGUGCACGCUCGCGUGCGACGACACAUGGGUCCCGCAAGCCCUACACUUGCCUCAGAGUCAGAGCCCUGAAAGCGAAGGCGACCCCCUCUCUUUUUGCUUGCCGCCUUAUCGUUCGUUCUUCUUCUUCUUCGUGCUUUCUUUUAUGAUAUUCUUCUAAUUUCCUAAUCAUUUGCACCCCAACCCAUUUUUACACGUACCCCCUUCAUUUUCUUCUCCAUUUCAAAUUUCUAAUAAUUGUGACACAAUUUAUCGAUUAUUGAAUAUUUUUUUAAUUCAAGGUGUGUUUGAUAUUUCUAUUUGGUACUCGAAGUCUUAAAAUAUACAUCUCUAAAAUGUUUAAUAGACACUUACAGUUGUGGAUUAUAAACUUACAUGAAUGUAUCAUAUAUUUGUAUAAUAAAAACAAAGGCAUAGCAUCACAAUACCAAUACUACUUUCCCAAUAUUAAAAUCUAAUUCAGAGAAUCAACUAAAUAAGUUCUUAUAAUUACAUAAAUAAAGAGACUCGAAUUCUCUAUUAUAAAAAUAAGGAGAGCAUGUACCGAUAAAUUCAACUAAAAAGUUGUUGUCUUGUUGAUUGUAUUUUACUAGCAAAUAACAAGUAGUUGUUAAUUAAUUGUUUCAUUUCUUUCUUUUGUGGGUAAUGGAGGUGGUUGGGCAAGUGAACGGUUUAUGUAGAAAGAACAAGCAAUCCAAUUGAUUUUCAUCACAUUCGCAACCUGGGUUGAAUCUCUCCAUCUUACAACUUGCCCAAAUGAAUCAUUUGAAUUUGGAUCUUCAAACUUCCAAGUGGGUUCUUCAUCGCAUUUGCAUGUGCCCCCCAUGUCUUUCUAAAGGUCUGCUGCCGGCAAAAUAUCAAUUGUCGCCUCACGCAGCAGCAGUGCUUGUCAUUGUCAAUGAUACUGCACAAGAUUCCAAUUUUGAGUUUUUCUCGUUCACAUUCCUCUCCAUCAACCAAAACGCUUGGGAAUAAGAAUUAGCUUUAUAAAUAAUUAGUACAACAUUAAUUAGUUUCUUAGUUUAUUAGCCGAUCGAUGAAGAUGAACAUCCUGUCAUUUGAAAAUUAUUAAUAGUCCUAAUAUAUUAAUUAUAAUUGUUAGAAUUCCUUUAUUUCUAGCUAGGGAUUAUAUAUAAAAGACGAUUAUGUAACAAUAGUGUAAUUAAGAUUGUGGUCAAUUGGUCAUGUGCAUACUAACGUGACAAAAACCAGAACCCUACUUGAAUUUCUUGACACGAGAUUUUGUCUGAUCUCUUUGUUCCUCAUGAAAAGGAAAACAAAAUGAGAAAAAUGAAAAGGCCAAGCAGCUAGCUAGCUUCACGAGAGUGACUAAGAUUGUGAAAGCGCUUCUGACCAAAGCUCAAGAAACAAAAGCAACAAUUUCAGCAGCCAAACACGCCUUACUUUCAUGGCCCAUGUUUAUAGAAUUUUUCAGUCUCACAAAGUGCUUCUAAAAUCUUCGUAUGUCCUAAUUUUUAAAUUUUAAUUAGGUCAAACUCAUUAGUACUCAAAGUAAAACACGCACCGCGUACACGCCACAAUCAUAAUAUUAUAUUAUAUUAUAUAUAUAUAUACACACCCAUACAUGAUGACUUUGGUUAGAACAAUAGUCAAUAGGUACCUAUCAAAAUACGUACCAAAAAUCAAUCUUAGAUUAACUUAAUUACUGGUGCGAUUAAAUUAAAAAUAUCUAAAACUUAGAUUGAUGUGAUAGUUAUUUAUUGUUGUCAAAAAUCAUGCAAUUCUGAAUUGGAAUAUCAUGUUUUGCUAAGUCAAUCAAUUAUCCUAGCUGUUAACAAUUUUAUAAUUAAAUGUUGUCAACUGGUUUACUUUUCUGUUGACUAUGAUAUACUCCUAGAGUCAUCAACCAACGUGAAGCAAUUUGGACGGUCUAGAUUGGUGGGUUUUUAGUUUUACUUUUAACUUACUGAGCUUUCAUUAUUCAAAAGUCAAUUCAUCUUUCAUUUUUAACUUUCUUUGUUUCAUGUCUUAGGUCUUGCCAUACUUUUUUAUUCUUUUAGUUAGACUAAAUUAAAUGGAAGUCUAAAUUCACAGAUUAAUAAUAACAUAUAGUUCAAAGUCUACCAAGCACAGUGCAAAAACAUAAGUCACAUGAAAGUGAAAUCUCAAACCUAAACAACUAUACUUAGGGUCAAUUUGGUAAUGCUGUAAUUUUUAAAAUAUUUUUUUAUAACUGUGCUGUUAAAAUAAUUAGCCGUAAAUAGAUUAGUUGAAAAUUAGGUCAAAUUUAUUUUUAAUAGUGUUGUGAGUUUUAAAAAGCAGUUGUAUGUAUUUUAUUGUUAAACUACUGUGAGAAUAUAAAUGACUUAAUUGAAGAUAAUGUUGAAUGAAAUUUAUUGACACAUUUAUAAAUAUGCAUAUAAAAUAUUUUUUAUUGUGUAUAUAUAAUAAUUGAUAACUAAAAUAAAAUCUCCUACAAACAACCUCAAAUGAUCUCUUAUAAUGAAACUUUGGAGUAGUAAUAAACAUAGGCAAAGCUAAGGUAAAUUUCAAGAAAUUUUAUUAUAAACCGUUAUAAAAUAAGUAAUGUUAAUACUGGCCUUUAGCAUGUUUUUUUUUUUUUUUGUAAUCACAAUAAAAUUAGUAAUGUUCAUAUCAAACUUUAAGAAAUGUUCGUAUUAGUCUUAAUCGAUAAUAUUUAUUGAAAGAGUAUUUUAAUUUAACUUGGAUUAAAAUAAAUUCUUAGGUGGCGUUUGUCUUUUAACUUAAUGACUUAAAGUGACUUAACUUAAUUAAUUAAGUUAAUUAGAGGUGUUUGUUUUUAUAACUUAAUGAGACUUUUUAGAUAAUUUUGACUUAAUAAAAUAAGCUAAUUUUUUUGGCUUUUUACUUAAUGGAGAAAUUUGAAUUAAGUCAAUUACUUACUAAUGUAAAAAAUAUCCAUGUUUUAUAAUUUAUUUUUCAUAUUUAUCCCAAAACUCACCCAUGGACAUUUAGCCCACAUAAAAAUAUCUAUGUUUUUUCUUUCUUAUAUUAUAUACGAUAAAAUUUGAAAUUUAUGGUAUUUUAUAUAUUAAAAUUCUAAAACAAUUAUGUAUUCACUUGAAUAUAGUUUUACUUAUAAAUGUUAAAAUAUUGUGGUAUUUAAUAUAUUAUUUAUUUGAUAUUCAAAUUUAAUAAGGAUACAAAUGUAAAAGUACAUAUUUUCAGCUUUUUCAGUUGAAAAAAACAAACAACUUAAUAUUUAUUUUCCGAGAUUCAGACGAAAAAACAAACAUAUUAUUCAGAUUCAAACAUUCAGAUUUAUUCAUAAUUCAGACUAAUUCAAGUCUAUUCAGAUUUCAGAUAAAAAAACAAACGUCACCAGUUUCACCACUGAUUAUAAAUACCCAAACUCAAAAAGUACUUUAUUUUGGGAAACAAAAGCAAUGUUUGGUAGGUGAUUGAUCAGUGUGAUCCAAGAAAGCACAAUUGGGAGAUAGGGCAAACCCCCCCGUAACCCUAAAAUGCCUAUAAAAAUAAUACAUAAGGACCAAAUAAAAACAAACGGGAACCCUACCACUUAAAGGUAAUUAAAGCAAAAACAAAUUGCUCUUCUCAAUGAGUGAGGGUAAUAAGUCAAAAUAAGUAUAUAAAAAAAUUAGAAAAUUAAAAAAUCACGUCAGGCUUAGGAAGGGUUGGCUGGCUAAGAACUAAGAAGGAUUUUCUCUUCUUCUCAGCAAUUAAGAAAGAGAAUUUAUAUUAAACUGAAUGAUAUUUCCAUUUCAUCAACUUUUUUAAGAAAUCUUUUCACAUGUAUAUUCAUUUUUUUAUGCUGUAUUUCUCUGCCAACUAAUUAAUUUGUAGCCAUUCUACAAUCCACUCUUAUUUUGUACACUCUUCCUACAAAACCAACAAAGAUUUCCACUUUGUGUUACAAGAGCCAAAAGAUAUUUAUAUAAUUUGCUUUCUGAAAGUUGGCUCUCCCUAGUGGGAUAAUGUAUUAUGGAUAGAAAUGUUUAAUUAAAAACUCAAAAUAAUUUAACCAUUACAUAUACAUGACUUUUAAAAUAGAGCCUAUAUCCAUAGUUUCUUGUUCUAGUAAGAUCUACAAAUGGUUUAGUGGCAAUAUAAUACAUUUAAGUUGCUUUACAUUCUCAACAAGAUGAUAAUUUAAUAUAGAAAUGCAAGUCUAAAACUUACUUUACCAACCAAAUUAAUAUGUGGAAUUAAUUCUAAUCUUGGAAACUUGUCCAAAUUCUUGCUAUCCUCACCAACUCCCUCCCUCCCUCCAACAUCAUCACCUAAUUAAGCUCAAAAGUUCCUCUCCCUUGGCUAUUAUUAGUAAAAUUUAUUUGUAAAUUAAAUCAGUUGUAAAAUCAUCUUAACAAUAUUCUUUCGUAAAUUUAUAUGUAUUAUUGUUGGUUGAAUUGAAGGCUUUCGGUGUUGUGUCUAAAAAGACCAUCUCUCUUGUCAUUGACUUUGCAUUGAAAUCUUUGAUUUAAAUAUUGUAUUAUCAAAUUUCAACCAUUAAAAAAGAAAUUCAAAAGAGAGGUUCUAUCAUCUUUAAAAUUUUCAAUAGGAUGAUGAGUGAAUAAACAAAUUGACUAGUGGGCAUGUGUCCUGUCACCAAAUUAAUCUUCAACCAAGACCCUUGGUGGGGUUGACUUAAGAGGGUGUGAUCUUGAUUCUUGACCCUCUUUGAUGAAACAUUCCUUUAGUCUUCAAGUGGACCCACAUUAUCACAAACCUUUGUUAUAAUCUUACAAUAUUUGAAGACUUGAGUUGAAACCUGUUCUGUUGCUUGUCCUCUUAUGCUUUUGUAAAUCAAUAUAUUUUUUUCUUUUGGGUCGGUGAAUUAUAAUUUAUCUUCUUUGUCCUCUAGCUUUAUUAUAAGGUUACAAGUACUAUUCAUUCAAGAAUUAAUGCAAUCAAAAUUCUUCUUUUGGCAGUAACUUUCGAAUUUUUUAUUGAUAGUGAUUAGUGGAACUAUUCAUGUUAAUAAUAUCAAAAAUUUUGAUCCAUAAUAAGAAGGCAAAAGGUACAUCAUAUUUGGGUAAUGUUUAGAGAGGCUGGCAUUUAAGUUCUUGUUAAUGUGAUUUUUUGUUUGUUGGAUGAUAGAAUAGUAAUUUGCAAGUUAUGGAAUUCAUAGUAACACAUAGUUGUUGGGACUCAAUUAAAUUGAUUCAACUAUAUUAAGUUAAACUUGGGAGUUUGGGUCGAGUCUUAGUGGAUUCUUUUCUCAUUCUAAAUAUAAAUUCAUAUAUAUAUUUAGAAAUUAUUUUCUCUCUUACUAGCUUGUGGGUGGAGCUUACUUUUUCUUACUAGUUGGUGGAGGAGCUACUAUUAUUCUAAAUUUAUAAGAAAUUUGUGGACAUUAAUUCUGAAAUGUAUUUGUGAACAAUUUGUAAAGAUAAAACUUUGGGCAGUAUUGUAAUAGUAUUGAAUUAAAUUCUAAUUGUAAAUAUAUCAAUUAUAUCGUAUCCCAUUAAAAAAAAUUAUUGAAAUCUCUAAUAUCAUUGUAAAUAUUUAUCUUUUCAUUUAUUUUUUCUCUUGUCUAUUUCAAGUAUGAAGACUAGUAUUUUAAAUCCCCCACACAAUUUUAAAGGACAAAUUAGUGCCCUCAUGGGGCAAAUAAGAUUCAUAUAUAAUUGGCAAUCACUUACAAUCAAUUAUACAACAUUUUUUUUAAGUUAAGCAUCGUGGGACACAUAUCUGGCCAACAAGUGCAGAGCAUGACUUCAUCUCUACAUCAUCCAAAGGUAUAUGCCCUCUAUUAUAUGGCUAUGAUAAAUAUUUGAAGGACCAUUUCAUAAAAGCAUUUGUGGUGACCAUAGUCUAUAGGGCCAUAGAGAGUAAUGAGCUAUUUUAAAGGGUUCAUGAUUGUGUAAAUUGAAGAAAAGAGAUUGAAUGGACCUACUUCUAGUAUUUUAUUUCUUCACUGCUAAUGAUUGAUAUGUUUAUGUUCAGACCAUUCCUACAAAACAAUACCUGCAAAAAUAAGUUACUUUUAUUCAUUGGUUUAGUGGAUCACAGUCCAUUAGGAGUCUUCGCAGAUCAAAUUUUAUAGAUUGCACAUUAAUUUAUAUCCGACACAUGAUUUUACAGAUUAUAAAUUUUCAAUUCAAUUCAAUUCAAAUACAAUCUAUACAUCUACAGAUCGGAUGCUGAUUUGACUCAAUCCAUAUUCAUCUACCAUUUUGCACAUUGGUUUGUGGAUAAAAAAUUUUUAAUUCUGUCCAAUCUAUGAAUUAAUUAAAUAAAAAAUCUUAUAUAAAAAUAAUUUUACUAUCGAUCAAAAUCAAUAUUAAAUAAGAUUUAAAUUAAUUAAUUAUUUAUAAAAAAGUUAGAAUAAUACAUUCAAAGUUUCAAAUAUAUAACACACCGAAAAGAACAAUUUAAUAUUUGUUUAUUUUCAUUAUUCAAUUAUUUUUAUUUUACAUUAUUAUUGGAUAUGAUAUAAUAUGGUUUUAACGUAACUACAUUUUAACUUAUUUACUUAUUAGCAAGUAGUAACACCACAUUUAUAAGUUUUACUCUUAAUUAAAUAAACUUUUUUUAUUCUUUUUGUAUAUUCGCGAGUUUUUGUGGGUUUAUAGAAGUAAAUCCAUGUUUAAUCCACCAUCGAAUUUUUUACGGAUUAAAUUUUUACAGAUAAGGUGAAUUAAACAAAUUAGAUUAUAUUAUGAACACCAUACAAUCCAUAACAAAAAUUCAUUAGCUAAGCGGCUAAGCCAGACAUAUUUCAAUAAAUUCGUGAGUGCACAACAAAAAACAAUAUUUCACUUUGUACUACUUGGUGAAUUUUUUUUUCCUUUUAUUUUUGAACCUAUUGCUUGAUUAGUUAUAUCCAUUGUGUUUGCUUGUAGAAUAGGUUCAGUCUCAAUGACUCGUUAUUAAAUUUUAAUUAUUCAUGUUAUUUUAAGUUUAGGGGAGAGUUUUUUUUUAUGGGGUGAAAGUAUCAAUUCAGCACAUUGAAGUGACGUGUCCUACCAAUUAAAACUUACUUAUUGGAGCGACAAUGUUUAGAUCAGGCCACCACCAGCUGCCCCACCUCGAGGGAUUUAAUUUUGCGUAUAUACGACCCUUCUAAGUAUUCUAAGUGGCUUAUACUUAGCUUGAGUUAAUAGAGUUGAAGACCCAUCUUGCCAAAUGACCCACAGAGACGAGCCACCAGCGGAGCUUUUAACACCCUUCAAAAAAUCUUUACAACACUCCUUUGAAUUCUAUUCUUUAAAGUAUCCGAACUUAAUCUAUAAAAUAGUAACUCAUUAAUUAAAAUCAAUCAUCUUGUCAUUAAAAUUUCACCUUAAAAAGAGUAGUUCUUUUAAAUUUUUAUUCAUAAAUGCAUAAAAAUCCUAAAAUCUCAAAUUAUUUU